UUCUGUGCCUCUGUGUUCUCCUCUACGAACAAGGAUUACAUGAGGUCACAUAUUGAAAGCAUUUAGAACAGUGUCUGCCACAGUCUCUGAGCUCUAACGGCUUCUGUUACUGUUCUUUGGGUUCUUCCGAUCAUCCUGUGGAGGAGGUACUCUGAUUAUGCCCAUCUCACCAAGAGAAAACAGCUCACACUGUUAGCAAGUGAUAGAGUGGGGGCUCGAACCUAGGCAGUUAACUCCUG
rnacentral:lncRNA from 10 species